rnacentral:rRNA from 1 species
AAUGAACGUUGGCGGCGUGGAUUAGGCAUGCAAGUCGAGCGAGAAGAGUUUGGUAGCUUGCUAUUGAACUCGGAAAGCGGCGAAAGGGAGAGUAACGCGUAGUUACGUGCCCAGGGGUUCGGAAUAGCCACGGGAAACUGUGGGUAAUGCCGAAUAACAUCUCCGGAUCAAAGGUGUGAUUCCGCCCCUGGAGCGGACUGCGUCCUACUAGCUAGUUGGCGGGGUAAUGGCCCACCAAGGCAACAAUGGGUAGCGGGUGUGAGAGCAUGACCCGUCUCACUGGGACUGAGACACUGCCCAGACUCCUACGGGUGGCUGCAGUCGAGAAUCUUCGGCAAUGGGCGAAAGCCUGACCGAGCGACGCCGCGUGCGGGAUGAAGGCCUUCGGGUUGUAAACCGCGAAAGUAGGGAGGAAAUCGCUAGGGGUUCUCCCCUAGUGUUGACCUAUCUUCAGUAAGGACGGGCUAAGUUCGUGCCAGCAGCCGCAGUAACAC